AAAACUGCACGACGUGUCAUCGUACAAAAACUAGAAACACAGGCGCCGCAUUGCCGCGCCCACUACAGAGUUGUGAGCUCUGGUAAGUACCUUGUGAUCUAGUCAUCCAAAUGGAUUACUUGCCCAAUCAACGGUUCUUGAUCUCUAAUUGAGUUGCUUGGGCUGGCUUUGCAGCCGAACCGCUCGACUGCAAGCUCCCAGCAGGAGCUGUAGCCUGAUUGGCAGAGUCGAUUGUACACGGGGAACUAACAGCUUGAUUGCAGCGGCUGUUGCUGGAUGCUGCAACAUCAAGCUGUUCCCAGCACCUAUUUUUGUAGUUCACGUGCAAUAUCUUUCUGUGAUAAAUCUCCCAUCUGGAACCAAAGAGAGGUAGCAUCACAAAGUUGUAUCCUUGCAUGUGAGAAAACACAUCAUCCUCGGAAGAACAUGCACUGGAGAAGGACGAAGGUAUUGAUGAUAAUAGCUGUUGCUAUAUAAUAAAUAUAGUAUUAAUAGGAGUGAAUACUAUCCGCACACCUUGGAUCAUGGUGCUCUCACCUCAAAACUGGAAAUAGUAUUUUGGAACUGAUCUGACAAAGCUGGCAAUUGAAAAAUCAUAGCAGGACUCACAAAGGCUUAGGGAUGAAAAAGCUACAAAAUGUGAGGAAUCAAAUAAUGGGGUACAUACUGCAGCUCAGCAGUAGACAUUUCUGAAUCUUGAAACUUGCUUCUCCAAAUUUUCUUUAGAAAAACUUCUAGAAUAUCUUCCUUUCAUUUCUUAAAAAAUAUGUUCAUUAAUCUACUAUCCAUGUCUCUUAAUUUCUUAGGUGACAUAGUAGAUAAUAAUGCAUGGUAUCUUGAGAAAAUUAUGCAUGAUAAUUUUGUA